UCUUGCGCAAUGGGGGCAACCCUGACGCAGCAACGCCGCGUGAGUGAGGAAGGUCUUCGGAUCGUAAAGCUCUGUCAGUUGGGAAGAACCACCUAAGGGUGAAUAUCUCUUAGGCUUGACGGUACCAACAGAGGAAGCACCGGCUAACUCCGUGCCAGCAGCCGCGGUAAUACGGGGGGUGCAAGCGUUGUUCGGAAUUAUUGGGCGUAAAGAGCGUGUAGGCGGCCGGAUGUGUCAAAUGUGAAAGCCCUGAGCUCAACUCAGGAAGUGCAUUUGAAACUGUCCGGCUCGAGUAGGGGAGAGGGAAGUGGAAUUCCUGGUGUAGAGGUGAAAUUCGUAGAUAUCAGGAGGAACACCGGUGGCGAAGGCGACUUCCUGGCCCUAUACUGACGCUAGACGCGAGA
rnacentral:rRNA from 1 species